AGUAGAGAAAUAAAAAUCAAAUAGCUGAAAUUGGUCCAGAAGUGACACAGAUGAUAAAAUUAGUAGUCAAGAACUUCGAAGCCAUGAUUAAAACUGUAGUCUGUGUUCAAGAAGCUAGAAGAACGACCGAACACGUUACAUCCUAGCAUAGAAAGAACCGAAAUCAAACUCGAGGUAAAAACUGUCAUGUCUGAGAUGGGAAUCUCCCGGGUCAGACUAAGAAGAUGUUGUCCACUUCAGAGGAAAGAACUAGUGAGAUCAAAGACUUUAGCAAUAGAAAUGCCCAAAGUAAACCACACUAAGCGAGAAGACUGAAAAGGUUGGAACAGAGCACCAGUCAACAGGGGGAUAACUUCAAGCAGCCUAAUAAUAUGUGUAAAUGCAAGUUCCCGAAAAAGAGAGGAGAGGUGGAGAGGGAAAUUUGAAGGACAUCAGAAAUUGUAUCUACAUGGCUGCUUCUGAAUUUCCUGUGGAAAUGCAAAGGACCCGUAAGAACCAAAACAACCUCAAAGAAGAAAAACAGAGUUGGAGGACGCGGGAUAAGGCUACAGUAUUUAGGACCACGUGAUAUUGUCAAGAUGAAGAGAUCCAGUUAUGCAAAGCAGUCCAGAAAUAGGUCCGCACCUAUAUGACUGACUUUUUACAAACGUGCAGAGGCAGUUCGGGGGAAAUUCUCCACAGGACCCAUCUCUCUGGGUUCUCAGGCUGGAUUUCACGACCCCCGUCCAGCUACACAGGAAGCGGGCAGGAUUCAGAGCUUUCUAGGCUCCCUCGAUACGGCAACCCACCACGACUUCUUACACCGUCAUUCCUAUCGGAUCAGCAGCUUCUCGGGAGCUGGGGGUUGGAAUCCCCUCGUGCAUCGGAAGGAGACGGAACCGGUCCCGGUGGCAGAGUCACUGUGGUGUGGUGCCGUCUGUCAAGAGGGCAGCUGCAGAGGCCGCAGCAGCCUCCCCUGGUUCACCUUUACAAGAAGCGGCAGGCUGUGUACAGGGAGAUCCCUUCGCCUCACCCGUAGCAACCCCCGAAGUGCUGUGUUAGCGGCUCAGUCCGUGCUCUGCAGUGAAAGCCUGGUGCCCGGGGCCCAGACCUCGCCAGCUGCCAGGUGUAUUCUCCGAGGCCCCGAGGUGCAGAACUCCUCACUAGGCAGAGGUUCCAGAAGAAGUCCCAAAGAGAGCUCAUUUUCCAUGGCCGACGGCCAGACCUGCAGCCUCACCGAGUGAUCACAGAACAGCAGGGCAGGUGCCUCAGUAACUCACGGGGACAUCAGCUGGUGGCCAAGGGGAAGCGCCCUGGCCGCAGCCUCCGGGUCCCCCUCCUGCUCUUGGCCACAUCUCGGGAAGAGCCGCGUCCGGAAUAAAGGACUGGGGAAGCCCGGGUUUACAGCCACCCCCAAGGAUACGGUAAAGAACCUUCUCAAGGCCCACCCUUAAAUCCAGCGGCCCUACAACACCUCCCAGAACGCCUCCUCCUCCUCCUGCCUCCUUACUCGUGCCCAGAAAUAACUUCAUUUUAUGGAAAAGAGCGUUUUCCAGAUAAGUGAAUUUUCCAGAUGAGAAAAGUUCAUCUCUUUAAGCACUUGGAAUUUUAUUAUUUUAACCAGUAGGGAGGGAAGUCUUCCCAAAUGACCCACACAUGUUCUCUCUCACGCAGCUCUGUAACUGGCUGGCCUACGGGGACUCGCCGUGAGCAGCAGGGACCAGGCUGUAUGAGGCCUCUGGGGCGUCGAGACCCACGGCCUCAGACGGACAUGCCUUGAGAGUCGUAGCCGGCCUUGGAAAGGAAGCACACUGUGACACACGGCACACUGGGGGACCCUUGAGGACCUGACGUGCGGGGAAGUAAAGCAGUCACAAGACAAGUUGCGAGUCCACUGAUAGGAGGCGCCUGGAGUCGUCAGAUCCAGAGGGACAAAGUAGAAAGGCGUCCAUCGGGGUGCUGGGAGAGGAAAGCGGCUGUGCGAUGCAGGGCCUUGAGAAGCUUCUUGACUUCUGCUGUCCCUCAGUUUCCUCAUCUGUGAAAUGGGGACCCUAAGAACACACGGGUUGUUCACACUUGGAAACCAAGCAGAACAGCGUGUUUUCACCGUGUCAGCUAAGAGGCAGCGACUUGGAGAAUCCCCACUUUCCAUACAGGGUAAACGGGGCUCAGAGGGGCUCAGCGCCUUACCCGACUCAUGCAAGUUGCCUUGACUCCAUGGUCCACCUCCCACCUCCUGUCCUGUCAUAAGAAAGUUCUCAUUAGAAGAAAGUGUUUCCUACGAGGGCGCUAAUUCCACGCCACCCCCUUUUGUCAGCCCCUGGCCGAGGGCAGGGCACCGAGCCAUGUUCUAGACUGACACUGUCCUACAGCCGCUUCCCCGUGUGAAGACAGGUUCGCGGCCCCAUGGCCAACGGAACGCUAACUCCCCCUUGUCACAUGGGUUUCUCCUGUUUGCCAAAAGUCCAAGCUGCCCCCAAGUCCGGCCUCCACCUCAAGCCUGCCGUCCCUCCUCCGACCGGGGCACCAGCCAGGGGCACUCUUGGCAGGGACUUGAGGUCUCAGGGCCGCGGACGGCAGAGGGUGCGUGAACAAAGCCACCCCCCUCCAAGUACGCUCGCUCCCUUGGCCAGAACACAGGGCCACCAAGCCACACAUGUGCCACCACUUCAGAAACACCUUAGAAACAUCCAGAGCCUAGCCAGGCCUAC